UUCCUCCUCCGCAGAACCCCGCCUCCACUCACUCCUCCUCCGCCUCCAGCGCCACCUCGUAUCUCCUCAAUCCCGACAUGUCCUGGGUUCCGAACGUCUCCUGGGGAGAGGCAUGAUUGGAUCAAAUAUUCCCUAGCCCCAGGUCCCCUUCUCCGUCAUUCUUGGGAUGAGUCUGAUUAAAUCGCAGACAUUCAAUCAACAGCUAUGUACUGAGUGUCUACUUCAUGCAGGCACUGUGCUGAACACGGAGAUAUAGUGUGAAAGAAUACAUGCAGUCUGCACCUUCGAAGAGCCAUCAUCUGGGGUAGAGCUGGGACAGUCAAAAGAAGACAAUUAGAUCAUUACAAUAAAUGGAACAGGCUGGCUAGGGAAGAUAGAGGAUGCUGCACCAGAGUCAAGAAGGGCAUUAACCCAUUGUAGCAGUUUGGAAAUAGCUGCCUCAGAUCUCUGACGUUCCAGCCAAGGCCCACUACUCACCUACAGUUUGUCUUGGAGAAGCAAAAAAAGAGUCUUAUGGCUGGACUGGUUGUAUAGGAGAGAAUGACCCAAAAUGAGCAAGAGGAAAGUUUCCUCACCUGAAAUGGAAGGAAUGGAUACACUACCCUUUCACCCAUUUGACACCUUUAUUCUCUCUCAUAUCCAUCUUCCCGAGCCUGCACUACAUACAAACAACAGAUAGGUUAAACAGUGAAUGCCAGGUGGCUUUAUUGGAAGCACUGCAGUUUAGACAUGAAGAGGCUGUGAUCUUGCCACACUCACACUCUUGUUCACACAUUGGUACUUCUGCUCUGGUUGAGUCAGGUCUGGUGCAGAGCAGCCUGUUCUUUUCUUCUGGUCUUUGGUUCUCCAGGCCAAGGAGAUUCCCUUCACUUAGGCAAGGGCUUCCUCUGGUGUUGUCAUUGUUUAACAUGGGGCUUGCUCUUGGGAAGGAAGGAGAGGCAAAGUCCUGGGUUGGUUGGGUAGAAUCUUCAAUAGGGCCUUGGAAGUUGGAAGCAGGGUUGAGGGUUUUGUCUUGGCAAAGGACUACUUCUUCAGUUUCUGGAUAAUGUGGCACACCCCAGGCUUAUCUGGGGUGCUCAAAGCUAAUGGACCCUCAUUAUGGUGAACCUGGAGUCAGAAGUCAGAGAGAAUGGAGCCCUGGGACCCAGCUUCCUAGAAAGCUUUUUUGUGAGGGGCAAAGACUGGCAUUUAUCACUGGUUUUUGAGGAGAUUAAAACUCUGGAAUUUCUCAAGUACAAAUGGUCCCUGACUCAUGAUGAUUUGACUUAGGAAUUUUUGACUUUAUAAUGGUGCAAAAGCUGCAUGCAUUCAAUAUUUCAAAUUUUGAAGAUUGAUUUUUUUCCUAUCCCAGUGAUAUGUGUUACAAUACUCCUUGAGAUGCUGGGCAGUGUCAGUGAGUCCCAGCUCCCAGUCAUAUGAUCAUGAAGAUACAUAACUGAUGCUCUGCAGUGAGUACACUAUGAUAAACUAUGAUGCUUAGACUUAGGAUAUUUUCAACUUAUGAUAGGUUUUUAGGAUCAUAAUCCCAGUGGAAGUUUAGGAGUAUAUGUAAUUGAGUGCCUUUGGUAUUCGUGAGCCCCUUAGGUAAGUUUAUGCUAAAAGAUGAGAUGACUCAGGAUGGGAGCUUGUCACCAUAAAGAACAAUCAUGGUUAGAGGGUUGGCACUUUUAAGUCAGCCAGACCUUGGAAAGGAGAGAGAGGCUGGAGAUUGACUUUGGUAUGUGGCCAAAAAUUCAACCAAGGCUAUGUAAUGGUAUCUCAAUAAAAAUUGGACACCAAAGCUCACAGAACUUCUUGGUUGACAAACAUAUUGAUGUGUCAGGAGGGCAAUACAUAUCUUAUGUCCCCAGUGAAAGCACGAAAGCCCUGCAUUUGGCAUUCUCCCAGACUUUAUUCUAUGUGUCUUUUCAUUUGGACAUUACUGACUUACACCCUUUAUAAACAAUUGUAAAUAGCACUUUC